AAAGGAAUAGACGGGGGCCCGCACAAGCAGCGGAGCAUGUGGUUUAAUUCGAAGCAACGCGAAGAACCUUACCAGGUUUUGACAUCCUGCUAAAGCUGUUGAAAGGCAGUGUGUCUUUUUUAAAGGCGAGCAGAGACAGGUGGUGCAUGGUUGUCGUCAGCUCGUGUCGUGAGAUGUUGGGUUAAGUCCCGCAACGAGCGCAACCCCUGCGCUCAGUUACCAGCGCGUUAUGGCGGGGACUCUGAGCGGACUGACGUGGACAACACGGAGGAAGGUGGGGACGACGUCAAAUCAUCAUGCCCCUUAUGACCUGGGCUACACACGUGCUACAAUGGCCGCAACAAAGGGAAGCGAAGGAGCGAUCUGGAGCGGAUCUCAAAAAAGCGGUCCCAGUUCGGAUUGUGGGCUGCAACCCGCCCACAUGAAGUCGGAGUUGCUAGUAAUCGCGAAUCAGCAUGUCGCGGUGAAUGCGUUCCCGGGCCUUGUACACACCGCCCGU
rnacentral:rRNA from 1 species